AUUGAACGCUGGCGGCAUGCCUUACACAUGCAAGUCGAACGGUAACAGGUCUUCGGAUGCUGACGAGUGGCGAACGGGUGAGUAAUACAUCGGAACGUGCCCGAUCGUGGGGGAUAACGAGGCGAAAGCUUUGCUAAUACCGCAUACGAUCUACGGAUGAAAGCGGGGGAUCUUCGGACCUCGCGCGGACGGAGCGGCCGAUGGCAGAUUAGGUAGUUGGUGGGAUAAAAGCUUACCAAGCCGACGAUCUGUAGCUGGUCUGAGAGGAUGAUCAGCCACACUGGGACUGAGACACGGCCCAGACGCCUACGGGAGGCAGCAGUGGGGAAUUUUGGACAAUGGGCGAAAGCCUGAUCCAGCCAUGCCGCGUGCAGGAUGAAGGCCUUCGGGUUGUAAACUGCGUUUGUACGGAACGAAAAGCCUCUUUCUAAUAAAGAGGGGUCAUGACGGUACCGUAAGAAUAAGCACCGGCUAACUACGUG
rnacentral:rRNA from 1 species